GGUUAACUUGCUUCAGCUGAAUAGGACAAAAUGGAAAGAGACUUCAGGACAACUAUACCUCAAAACACACUGGACUCCUUGAAGGAGGAGGAGGCAGCUUCAUGCAAGGGGGAAGAAGCCACCUGAGAGCAGCUCUGCAAAUGCACAGACCUCAGAAAAAGACCUCCAAAUGGAAAACCACAGUGCUGCAGAGCAGCCUCCUGUCAGCCAGAAAUGCUGAUUACCAAGGAAAGAAAUUAGAACAGGAUUUGGCCCAAAAAGUUCCUGCAGAGCUGGAGAGAGACUGAGGAGCACAGAACAAACUGCCCUAGCUUCCCUGCACCAUCCUGGUUGCCUCAAUAAUUGCUAAAAUCUCCAUCAUGGUUUGUCCUCCUCCACCAUGGUGUUCCUUUCUCACCUGAAGUGCCACUUGCCUAAACCAUGGUGCCACAUGGGGUGCUUGUGAAGCAGCCCCAUGAUUUACCUUUACCUUGCCUACUUGUUUUUAAAUUGUCAGAGUAUCCUCUCAAGUUGUCGGUAAAAGGGUGAAAUGACUGGUUUUGCACAGGAAAUAGAUUUUACUUCUUUAAUAAGAAUUUUUACAUUAUUUCAUCUUUGGCAAACCAUGUGACAUUAGAUUAAGAUCUCAGCCUGAAGAACAGGCCUGAGAUCUGGCCACAUUUAAGUUUUUGAUAGAACUUGAUCAUCAAUUAAAUCCAAAGGCAAAAAAUAUAGCCUAAAAUGGACGCUCUUUUUAAAGUAAAAGAGUACAGCAGGCAAGAAAUAAUUUUUAUGAAAACUGAACUUCUGGGAGACCUUUUUUACUCUGAUCUGCUCUCUUGACCUCAGAGGUGAUGUCAGCAGCUUGGCCACUGAGCUGUCACAGCUGAAGUUGACUUCACUGGUGCUCGCUGCCAACAGACACAGUGGGAACUCUGCUCUCCUCACUGGUGCUCACUCCCCACAGACACAGCGGGAGCUCUGCUCUCCUCACUGGUGCUCGCUGCCCACAGACACAGCGGGAACUCUGCUCUCCUCACUGGUGCUCACUCCCCACAGACACAGCGGGAACUCUGCUCUCCUUGCAUGGUGCCUCACGCCGCAUCCGAACGCUCCCUCUGCUCCCAGCACAGCCCUACACGGCCAAGGCAGCAGCAAUCUUGCUCCUAGUCAGCAGAGAAGCUCUACCAUGGAAUCACUCAUGGAAGAAGAGGGUUCUGCAGCCAGGAUGCCUGUUUUGAGCACACCAGUCUCUUUCCCUGCUCUUUGGUUACCAGUUGAUCUUCACACAUCCACAGGAAGGUCUGAGGCUGCCUGUUGGCUUCUCUCAGAGGAAUGUCCUGAAUGGAGCUUGCUGUCAACACAGCUUUCAAGACAAAGAAGAAAAAAAGAAAAAAGAAGAAGCAUAUGA
rnacentral:lncRNA from 1 species